AUGAUGCACAUGACUCUGUAUUGGGGAAAAAACGUGACACUUCUAUUCGAUUCGUGGAAGACCGAUUCAUGGACGAGUUAUCUACUGAGUUUGUUCGCGUGUUUUUUGAUUGCCUCUUUCUACCAGUAUCUGGAGAAUAUUCGGAUUCGGUUGAAGUUUUUCUCCGGUGGGAAGGGGCAAUCUCUGGUGCCGGAGAAUCGGGCUCCUCUUCUGGGGUUGAAUAAGGUUUCUAGAAAUAAGGUUGCGGAAUCGGGUUUGUUUGGUGUGAAUUCGGCGAUUGGGAGUCAGGGGGAAGAAGAUGCUGCUCUAGUUGUUGAUAAUUCUUGUGCUUGUGCUUAG